GAUGAACGCUGGCGGCGUGCUUAACACAUGCAAGUCGAACGAUGAAGCCCAGCUUGCUGGGUGGAUUAGUGGCUAACGGGUGAGUAACACGUGAGUAACCUGCCCUUGACCCUUGGAUAAGCCCGGGAAACUGGGACUAAUACUGGAUAGGGACGUCUACCGCAUGGUGGGUGUUGGAAAGAAGUUCGGUGAUGGAUGGACUCGCGGCCUAUCAGCUUGCUGGUGAGGUAAUGGCUAACCAAGGCGACGACGGGGAGCCGGCCUGAGAGGGUGACCGGCCACGCUGGGACUGAGACACGGCCCAGAAUCCGACGGGACGCAGCAGUGGGGAACAUUGCACAAUGGGCGGACGCCAGAUGAAGCGACGCAGCGAGAGGGAUGAAGGCAUUCGGGUUGUAAACAUCUUUCAGUAGGGAAGAAGCGAGAGUGACGGUAACUGGAGAAGAAGCACCGGCUAACUAAGUG
rnacentral:rRNA from 1 species